AUCUCUUCUCGGCCUUUUGGCUAAGAUCAAGCGUAGUAUCUGUUCUUACCAUUCACCUGUCAACAGAUAGCUGUUCAGCCUUUUUUCUAUGGCAGAAAUUUUUUUGCAUGCUGAGGAUGAAUGUAAAAGCAUACAUGGUUUUUGCCCACAAGGAGCUUAUGCUUAAUGUAA
ensembl:snRNA U2 U2 spliceosomal RNA